rnacentral:rRNA from 1 species
UAUACAGCGAAACUGCGAAUGGCUCAUUAUAUAAGUUAUCGUUUAUUUGAUAGUACCUUACUACUUGGAUAACCGUGGUAAUUCUAGAGCUAAUACAUGCUGAAAAUCCCGACUUCGGAAGGGAUGUAUUUAUUAGAUUAAAAACCAAUGCCCUCUGGGCUCUCUGGUGAUUCAUGAUAACUUCUCGAAUCGCAUGGCCUUGCGCCGGCGAUGGUUCAUUCAAAUUUCUUCCCUAUCAACUUUCGAUGUUUGGGUAGUGGCCAAACAUGGUUGCAACGGGUAACGGAGGGUUAGGGCUCGACCCCGGAGAAGGAGCCUGAGAAACGGCUACUACAUCCAAGGAAGGCAGCAGGCGCGCAAAUUACCCAAUCCCGAUUCGGGGAGGUAGUGACAAUAAAUACUGAUACAGGGCUCUUUUGGGUCUUGUAAUUGGAAUGAGUACAAUUUAAAUCCCUUAACGAGGAACAAUUGGAGGGCAAGUCUGGUGCCAGCAGCCGCGGUAAUUCCAGCUCCAAUAGCGUAUAUUAAAGUUGUUGUGGUUAAAAAGCUCGUAGUUGAACCUUGGGCCUGGCUGGCCGGUCCGCCUCACCGCGUGUACUGGUCCGGCCGGGUCUUUCCCUCUGUGGAACCCCAUGCCCUUCACUGGGUGUGGCGGGGAAACAGGACUUUUACUUUGAAAAAAUUAGAGUGCUCCAGGCAGGCCUAUGCUCGAAUACAUUAGCAUGGAAUAAUGAAAUAGGACGUGCGGUUCUAUUUUGUUGGUUUCUAGGACCGCCGUAAUGAUUAAUAGGGACAGUCGGGGGCAUCAGUAUUCAAUUGUCAGAGGUGAAAUUCUUGGAUUUAUUGAAGACUAACUACUGCGAAAGCAUUUGCCAAGGAUGUUUUCAUUAAUCAGGAACGAAAGUUAGGGGAUCGAAGACGAUCAGAUACCGUCGUAGUCUUAACCAUAAACUAUGCCGACUAGGGAUCGGACGAUGUUAUUUUUUGACUCGUUCGGCACCUUACGAGAAAUCAAAGUGC